GAGUUGCAUAGUGGCAGUCUUCUUUUGUUUUUAUUUCACCAUGAUCCUUGGCCUAUUGAACCUCUGUUUUAACUGCUUUUGAAAAGUUUUCCUUUUUAGAAAUCUUCUUGUCUCUUUCUCCAACAACAUCCCGUUAGUUCUUGGAAGAAAUUAAGACUGACUUCCAAAAACCCUUUUAAAACAGAGUUCCGUAGACCACGGAUUGCAAAAGAGACUAUGCCACUGAAAACUU
rnacentral:pre_miRNA from 1 species